rnacentral:misc_RNA from 1 species
UCAAGUCAUCAUUUAGAAAGAAGAGAAAUGGGUGUCCAUUAUCUACAGGAACAUCCUGAACGAUUCAUAGAAAGCAUAAUACAUGUACCAUGGUCACAGUAUUUAUCUAACAUGUCCGUACAAAGUACAUGGGCUGACCAUNUAGUUGUACAAGCAGUAGCUGAUGCAAUGAAUUUAAGGAUUAAUAUCAUUGAAUCCGAUCAGAAUUUUAGUGAAUUAACGAUAGUUGAACCAGCAACUACACUAUCAAAUNCCAGGUCGAUACAUAUAGGACACAUAGGUCAAAUGCAUUAUGUCUNGACAUGUCAAAUCAACAGUGUUGAUAAUAGUAUGACAGAUGANUCAANUGAAUCACAAAGAAAUGAUUUACAAACAGAAACGAUGAUUGAAAACAAUAAUCUAGUUAAAGAGUCAUCCAGUAAUGAAUGUACAAUUCAAAGCAAACCACUUCAUAAUUCUAAGAAUAGAAAUAGAAAGAUAUACAUGAAACAGUAUAUGCAAAAAUACAGACAAAGCUGUACAUCUCCACAGAAAAAAGCAAAGAAAAAUGAAAAUCAAAGAAAUUAUCGUAAAGCUAAUGUAACUCCAGAGAAAAAAGCAAAACGAAAUGAAAAUCAAAGAAAUUAUCGUAAAGCUAAUGUAACUCCAGAGAAAAAAGCAAAACGAAAUGAAAAUCAAAGAAAUUAUCGUAAAGCUAAUGUAACUCCAGAGAAAAAAGCAAAACGAAAUGAAAAUCAAAGAAAUUAUCGUAAAGCUAAUGUAACUCCAGAGAAAAAAGCAAAACGAAAUGAAAAUCAAAGAAAUUAUCGUAAAGCUAAUGUAACUCCAGAAAAGAAAUCAAAACGAAAUGAAUAUCAAAGAAAAUAUAGAAAAGCUAAUCUAACUCCAGAUAAAACAGCAAAACGAAAUGAAUAUGAAAAAAAUAUCGUAAAGCUAAUGUAACUCCACAGCAAAAAGCAAAACGCAAUGAAUAUCAAAGAAAAUAUAGAAAAGCUAAAUCCUUGACAGUUGAGUGCAUGAUCAAAAAAUUUCAUGAAUUAGUUAAUGAAGGACCAGUAUAUAUUUGUACAUGCUGUGAGCAAUUAUGGUAUAAACAUAGUGUACAUUGUGCUUAUAAACUUAGACAGACUAAUCCUGACAUUGAAAAGUAUCUUCGUGAUAUGUCAUAGUCACUUAAUCAAAAACAAACUUCCACCUUGUGCAAUAGCUAAUGGUAUGGCAUUUCCACAAAAACCAGACUUCUUUGAUCUUAACGAGUUAGAAUGUAGAUUACUAGCACCAAGAAUUGCGUUUCAAAAAUUUAUGCAAGCUCCUAGAGGUAAACAGCUUAAGAUUCAUGGUAAUGUUGUGAAUGUACCUGCUGAUGUUAAUGAUACAGUAAGGAUGUUGCCACGGGUAAACAGCCAAACAUCAACAAUCAAAAUAAACUUAAAAAGAAAGCUUCAAUAUAAAAGUUCAGCUUUAUCAUUAAAUGUACGGCCAUAUAAGGUCAUUGAAGCAGCAAACUGGUUGAUAAACAAUAGCAAUCUUUAUAAAAAUGAAGGUAUUCAAUUAGAUUCGGAAUGGAUACAUAAAUNCAAAGUAGAAAUAACACAAAAUGAAACGGAUGAAGAUCAUGAUGUUAAUAAUUGUUUCAGUUCACAAUCACAACACAACGAUGAAAUUAAUUUGCACUGACACUAUUAUUUCAGAUGAAGAAAAUGAAGCUAAUGAAAGAUGAAGGAGAAUCACCAGAUGGUACUACUGAUACCAUGUUGACUUCAGCUGAUUUUGUUGAAGAUAAUGAACACCACCAUAUUCUUAAUGUUGCUCCAGCUGAAGUUAUCACAACACAACGAAUAACUCCAAUACUCCAAAACAGAAAAACUCAAAGUAAGUUUAACAUCAACAUCUUUCAUUCAAACAUUCCUCAUGUCAUAAACUUCACUCAGUCUUCUUUCAUUUAUAUAGNACUGCCAAUAUUCAAGGCACCUGCACUGAUGAACAAGAUCUUGAAGAUUAUAUAUCAGAAACAUGUACUCCAAACUACUCAAGUUAAACAUGUUAUUACACUUCAAUAACAGCAUAAAUGUUUAUCAGAAUUUUGUGGAAAGAGGUUGCCAAUAAUGAUUAGUAAUACUGUAUCACAAAAAAUUCAUCAAAGAGAUUCCCAAAAAACAUUGGAGAAUGUACAAUUCCAAAAACUGCAAGAAUUCUAUCAACAUCUGGCAUUCCCAUAUAACAGUUACACAGACAAUAGACUACAGUUGUAAACAAACCAUAGAACAAAUGUCUACAAUAAGAUAGACCUUAAGGUAAAAGUUUCACCAAACAAGAACACAAUCAAGUUGUUAAAUGGAAAACGUCAUACAAAUGUCUGUGCAUUAUAUCUGAUUCUAGUGAAUCAAUUAAUAUUGUACUUUGGCGUCAAACCAUACACAAAGUUUAUACGUCAAGCCAAACGUCACCUUUUCCGUAAUCUAACAGGAUGGUACAAAAUUUGUUAAGAAUUGACCACCAUAAAAGAACCAUACAUUAUUGAUACGAUACUAUUCUCCACAUUAAUCCUUUAAAAAUAUCAUUGAUAUGCUAUGCAAGUUCUACAGUUUUCUUAUAUUGUAUGUUGACGUAUACAGUUACAUUGUAUUUGAAAAUUAUCAUUAAACAGAUGUUUUUGAAUU